UGUCAUUUUUAAUGAGAUUUCUUCUCCCUCCAGCAGAUACAUGAUGCAGCCAUCACAGGCAUUUCUGGGACAGCCAAUCCUGACUCGUGAGUACAGUCAUCUGACCGAGGAUGGAUAAAGCUGCCGCACACACCGUCAAUCAUCAGUGGAUAUAAUCAUUCCCAACAGGCAGUCAGACAUCCGCUGCGGGGGUCUCUCACUGCUGGUAUCCUCAGCUUCACAUUUACAGUCAUGGAGGAAAGUGGACGUCUCUGCACUGAACACUCAGGCAUGUGUGUGGCAGGGCGGUGUGGCUGGCUCCACCUUCAGCAGCAGACGAGGCACACCAGGUCCCACUCAAAUCAUCAACCUCAUCAUAAAAGCCUGGUCUCCACUCCACUGUGGUGCCAGAUAAUUCCGCCUCGUUUGAUCAUCCGGUUUGCCUCGCUGCGUCUCCAGUGACUGAGAAUUCCCAUGUGCUCAGUCCUCGUGUUCCAUUCUCAACUUGCCACGAGCCGGCCAGCUCGCUGCCCUCCUGCUUGCGUUUUCCCUCUUCGUUGGAAAAUAAACUGUGUUUAACUUACCUGUGUCAGUCUCUGCUUUGGGGUCCAACAUAAAACAAAACCUGACAAUUUGCAGUAUAUACCAUCUUACUGUGUGGAAUAAAAAUGGUCAGAACUAAAAAAAUAUCAGCACUUAAUUUUAGCCGUCAGUACCAUGAAUCCCAAUAAAAAUAAAAAAUAAAAAUCCCAAACAGAAUGAAUAUCAGUUGAACUUGACUUAGAGCCAAGAAGUUUUCUCUGCUGUUCGACAACUCGUAAAGUUCUUGAGCGAAAUGUCUGGUAAAAUUAUCAUCCAGGUUUAAUC